GCCAGACAGCUAGCUUAAAUCCCCAAAUAAACUAACACAACAUUAAAACACCUCACAAGCACUAUAACAUAAAAAACCAAAACAUUUUCCCGCCCAAGUAUGUGUGACAGAAAAGGCACCAUAAAGCUUUAGAAAAAGUUCCGCAAGGGAAUGCUGAAAGAGAAAUGAAACAAAUCAUUUGAAGCACAAUAAAGCAGAGACUAGCCCUCGUACCUUUUGCAUCAUGAUUUAGCCAACCCUAUUGAGCAAAGUGUACUUUAGUUCAAAACCCCGAAACUAAGUGAGCUACCCCGAGACAGCCUAUUAAUUAGGGCCAACCCGUCUCUGUGGCAAAAGAGUGGGAAGAUCUCCAGGUAGCGGUGACAGACCUACCGAACUUAGUUAUAGCUGGUUGCCUAGGAAACGAAUAGAAGUUCAGCCUCGUACUCCUCAACUCACAAACUCAACUGUAAAUAUGAGCCAGAGAAAAAUACGAGAGUUAAUCAUAGGGGGUACAGCCCCUAUGAAACAGGAUACAACCUCCUCAGGAGGCUAUAGAUUACAUUAACUAAGAUAUGCUGCUCCAGUGGGCCUAAAAGCAGCCACCUUAACAGAAAGCGUUAAAGCUCUGGCAGCCCAAAAAUCUAUUAUUCAAAUAAUACAUCUAAUGCCCCUAAUUAUACUAGGCUAUUCUAUGCCCCCAUAGAAGAAAUACUGCUAAAAUGAGUAAUAAGAAGUAAAAAUACUUCUCCCGGCCCACGUGUACGCUAGAUCGGACCCCCCACUAGCAAUUAUCGAGCCCAACAAAAGAGGGCACUAUGAAUUCAUUAAAUAACAAGAAACCACCAUAAAAUUAAAUCGUUAACCCCACACUGGAGGGCCCCAAAGGAAAGACUAAAAGAAAAGGAAGGAACUCGGCAAACACAAGCCUCGCCUGUUUACCAAAAACAUCGCCUCCUGCAAAACUCAAUGUAUAGGAGGUCUUGCCUGCCCAGUGACAAGUUAAACGGCCGCGGUAUUUUGACCGUGCGAAGGUAGCGCAAUCACUUGUCUUUUAAAUGAAGACCUGUAUGAAUGGCGGAACGAGGGCUUAGCUGUCUCCCUUUUCAAGUCAAUGAAAUUGAUCUGCCCGUGCAGAAGCGGGCAUACCCCUACAAGACGAGAAGACCCUUUGGAGCUUAAGAUACAAGAUCAACUACGUCAAGAACCCAUAAAUCAAGUUAAACCCAGUAGAACCUGAUCCCUAUCUUCGGUUGGGGCGACCACGGGAGAAAAUAAAGCUCCCACGAAGACUGGGGCCUACCCCCUAAAACUAAGAAAGACACUUCUAAGUCUCAAAACAUCUGACCAUUAAGACCCGGCUCUCCGCCGAUCAACGGACCAAGUUACCCUAGGGAUAACAGCGCAAUCCCCUUUCAGAGUCCAUAUCGACAAGGGGGUUUACGACCUCGAUGUUGGAUCAGGACAUCCUAAUGGUGCAGCCGCUAUUAAGGGUUCGUUUGUUCAACGGUUAAAGUCCUACGUGAUCUGAGUUCAGACCGGAGUAAUCCAGGUCAGUUUCUAUCUGUAACGUCACUUUUUCCUAGUACGAAAGGACCGGAAAAAGAGGGCCCAUGUUGCCAACACGCCCUACCCCCAUUUAAUGAAAACAACUAAAUUAAAUAAAGGGAGAACAAACCCUAAAAUCAAGAUAAGAUUAUUAAGG
rnacentral:rRNA from 1 species